AGUGAACGCUGGCGGUAGGCCUAACCCAUGCAAGUCGAACGGCAGCACAGUAAGAGCUUGCUCUUACGGGUGGCGAGUGGCGGACGGGUGAGGAAUACAUCGGAAUCUACUUUUUCGUGGGGGAUAACGUAGGGAAACUUACGCUAAUACCGCAUACGACCUACGGGUGAAAGCAGGGGAUCUUCGGACCUUGCGCGAUUGAAUGAGCCGAUGUCGGAUUAGCUAGUUGGCGGGGUAAAGGCCCACCAAGGCGACGAUCCGUAGCUGGUCUGAGAGGAUGAUCACCCACACUGGAACUGAGACACGGUCCAGACUCCUACGGGAGGCAGCAGUGGGGAAUAUUGGACAAUGGGCGCAAGCCUGAUCCAGCCAUACCGCGUGGGUGAAGAAGGCCUUCGGGUUGUAAAGCCCUUUUGUUGGGAAAGAAAAGCAGCAGGUUAAUACCCCGCUGUUCUGACGUUACCCAAAGAAUAAGCACCGGCUAACUUCGU
rnacentral:rRNA from 1 species